rnacentral:rRNA from 1 species
GACGAACGCUGGCGGCGUGCCUAAUACAUGCAAGUAGAACGCACAGUUUAUACCGUAGCUUGCUACACCAUAGACUGUGAGUUGCGAACGGGUGGGUAACGCGUAGGUAACCUUCCUGGUAGCGGGGGAUAACUAUUGGAAACGAUAGCUAAUACCGCAUCAUAUUGAUUAUUGCAUGAUAAUUGAUUGAAAGAUGCUAUUGCAUCACUACCAGAUGGUCCUGCGUUGUAUUAGCUAGUAGGUGAGGUAACGGCUCACCUAGGCGACGAUACAUAGCCGACCGGAGAGGGUGAUCGGCCAAACUGGGACUGAGACACGGCCCAGACUCCUACGGGAGGCAGCAGUAGGGAAUCUUCGGCAAUGGACGAAAGGCUGACCGAGCAACGCCGCGUGAGUGAAGAAGGUUUUCGGAUCGUAAAGCUCUGUUGUAAGAGAAGAACGGGUGUGAGAGUGGAAAGUUCACACUGUGACGGUAUCUUACCAGAAAGGGACGGCUAACUACGUG